UUGUCUGUCGAGCGUCAAGUCACUGGAGAUGAGCUCUCCAGUUUUCCCAGUUUUCCCGUUUUUGUCCUGUUUGACAGUGACAUCAGUGAGCCCAGUGUUUCGGCAGUAAAUUGCUAAGUUCCGGCCAAAGAAAUUGAAUUUUGAUUCUGUGUUGUCUUCGACUCUUCGUUUGAGGAAGCAAAUAAAGACGUCAUAAUCCCA